rnacentral:misc_RNA from 1 species
UGGGAGUUGAAAUUCGACCAGCCACCAUUAAUGGUGAAAAUCAAAGUGAAAGUGUAAAUAUAGGUGCACCAGUUGUACUUGGACUACAACCAUUUGCCCUAGUAGAUCAUAUAGCUAAGGUGGAUUGGUCUCUUCUCUCCCAAAUUCCCGGUGAACGUGGUGGCUCUUUCCCAGUUGCAGUUGAAGAGUUGAAGUAUAUACUCAACGAGCUUAACGCCCAUAUCCUUCCUUCUACUGACAAUGAAUCCAUAUUGAAGACUAUAGCUGGAGGUAGCGUUGCAAAUACAAUUAGAGGGUUGGCUGCUGGUUUUGGGAUUAGUAGUGGGAUCAUUGGGGCUUGUGGCGAAGAUGAAGAAGGUAAAUUAUUUAUGAGCAACAUGGGCUUUUACAAAGUGGAUCUCUCAAGAUUGAGAUUGAAGAAUGGAACUACAGCUCAGUGUGUUUGUCUGGUUGACGAAGUUGGCAAUCGUACCAUGCGUCCAUGUUUGUCUGGCUCUGUGAAAGUUCAGGCAGAUGAACUGAAAAGAGAGGACUUCAAAGGUUCUAAGUGGCUGGUACUGAGAUAUGCCAUACUGAAUGUAGAAGUUAUUAAGGUGGCCAUCAAAAUAGCAAAGGAAGAAGGUCUUUUUGUUUCUCUAGAUCUUGCCAGCUUUGAGAUGGUGAGGAAGUUUAAAUCACCUCUAAUUGAAUUAUUGGAGUCGGGAAACAUAGACCUUUGCUUCGCAAACGAGGAUGAAGCAACUGAGCUGCUAAGGGGUGAAGAGAAAGCAGAUCCUGAUGCAGCACUUGAAUAUUUGGCUAAAUAUUGCAAGUGGGCUGUUGUCACCUUAGCUCAAAACGGAUGCAUUGCGAAACAUGAGAAAGAGUUUGUGCGUGUUCCAGCAAUUGGCGAAGCGAAAGUUACUGAUGCUACAGGUGCAGGAGAUCUGUUUGCAAGUGGAUUUUUGUAUGGAUUGGUAAGAGGACUGUCACUGGAGGAAUGUUGUCGGGUGGGUUCUUGCAGCGGUGGUUCUGUGAUUCGAUCUCUUGGGGGUGAGGUAACACCUGAAAACUGGCAAUGGAUGUACAAACAAAUGCAGACCAAUGGACUCCAACUUCCAGAACCAAGCAAAUCCUCUGUUGUGACAUAGAAGAGUGGCCUCCCUAACUCAAUAGAAAGAGCAGCGCUGUGUUUUUUAAGUGCGUACUCCUCUUGUUAUUUGACUUGUCGCGAAGAUAUGUUGAACGUAGAAGUUCAUAUUGUUUAAUCUAGAUGUCCAUCUCAAUUCAGGUGUCAAAAGAUUCAGUUUUUAUUAUAUGCAAUGUGUUGGAAGUUGCCAUUGAACAGAGA